UUCAGUGUUUUAUAGAAGUGCUCACAUGUAAUCUAAACAAGAACUCUACAAGAGAGGUAUCCAGAGCCACAUUUUAUAGAUAAGGAAAUUGAGGCUCAGAGAGGACUAGAAAUUUGGCUAAGCUCCUGCAGCUGAGUUGGGGGCUGCAUCUGACAAGUGGCCGUGGUUUCAAGUCUCUGGAGUCCCAUUUUUUUCUCUUCCAUGGAGUUUGUUUGCUGCAGUUUGAGGAGCCGAGGCAUAUGAUAAAUACCAGGUGUCCUUAGAAGAAGAGGAGAUUGGGCCCCAGACACACAUGCACAGAAGAAAGACCACGUGAAGACAGAGGGAGAAGACGGCGAUCUACAAACCAAGGAAACAUCCUCAGAAUGAAACCAACCUUGCCAACCCCUGAUCCUAGACCUCCAGCCUCCACAACGGUCUUUGGACUCAGAUGGAAUUAUACCACGGGGUUUCCUGGGUCUCCAGCAUGCAGAUGGCAGAUUGUGGAACUUCUCAGCCUCCAAAAUCGACAUUGCCCAGUGAUCCUGGGGAUGCCGUUUGGAAGCUGCACACCUUUGACAUCUUUAGGGUCGAAGAGAUGAUGCUCCCCAUGGGGACUGACCAGUGAUCCAUUAGUUUCUUGUGGAGUCUUCGGAGGUCUACGGGGCCUUCCUGGGGUGCACCUCAUUUCCCCCACUCCUGACUUCGCAAUUUACUCCUUUGGAUCUUUCCAGAAACCGUCUUUGGCAGUUCUGAAACAAAGGCCACCUAGUGACCAAACACAAAACAAAAAACACUUGGAAAUCAUCAUUUCUCAAAAAGACUUUUGUUUUGAAAGAGACAAUA
rnacentral:lncRNA from 1 species